rnacentral:rRNA from 1 species
GCAUAUCAAUAAGCGGAGGAAAAGAAACCAACAGGGAUUGCCCUAGUAACGGCGAGUGAAGCGGCAACAGCUCAAAUUUGAAAUCUGGCCCUCGGGUCCGAGUUGUAAUUUGUAGAGGAUGCUUUUGGUGCGGUGCCUUCCGAGUUCCCUGGAACGGGACGCCAUAGAGGGUGAGAGCCCCGUCUGGUUGGAUGCCAAUCCUCUGUAAAGCUCCUUCGACGAGUCGAGUAGUUUGGGAAUGCUGCUCUAAAUGGGAGGUAUAUGUCUUCUAAAGCUAAAUACCGGCCAGAGACCGAUAGCGCACAAGUAGAGUGAUCGAAAGAUGAAAAGCACUUUGAAAAGAGAGUUAAAAAGUACGUGAAAUUGUUGAAAGGGAAGCGUUUAUGACCAGACUUGGGCUUGGUUAAUCAUCCAGGGUUCUCCCUGGUGCACUUUUCCAGUCCAGGCCAGCAUCAGUUUGCUUCGGGGGAUAAAGGCUUCGGGAAUGUGGCUCCUCUCGGGGAGUGUUAUAGCCCGUUGCGUAAUACCCUGGGGCGGACUGAGGUACGCGCUUCUGCAAGGAUGCUGGCGUAAUGGUCAUCAACGACCCGUCUUGAAACACGGACCAAGGAGUCGUCUUCGUAUGCGAGUGUUCGGGUGUCAAACCCCUACGCGUAAUGAAAGUGAACGCAGGUGAGAGCUUCGGCGCAUCAUCGACCGAUCCUGAUGUUCUCGGAUGGAUUUGAGUAAGAGCAUACGGGGCCGGACCCGAAAGAAGGUGAACUAUGCUUGUAUAGGGUGAAGCCAGAGGAAACUACUGGUGGAGGCUCGCAGCGGUUCUGACGUGCAAAUCGAUCGUCAAAUAUGAGCAUGGGGGCGAAAAGACUAAUCGAACCUUCUAGUAGCUGGUUUCCGCCGAAG